UACGUAUGGAGCAAGCGUUAUCCGGAUUUACUGGGUGUAAAGGGAGCGCAGGCGGCUUUGCAAGUCUGAUGUGAAAGGCCGGGGCUCAACCCCGGGACUGCAUUGGAAACUGUAAAGCUAGAGUGCCGGAGAGGUAAGCGGAAUUCCUAGUGUAGCGGUGAAAUGCGUAGAUAUUAGGAGGAACACCAGUGGCGAAGGCGGCCUGCUGGACUGCGACUGACGUUGAGGCCCGAAAGCGUGGGGAGCAAACAGG
rnacentral:rRNA from 1 species